GACGAACGCUGGCGGCGUGCUUAACACAUGCAAGUCGAACGGAAAGGCCCUGCUUUUGUGGGGUGCUCGAGUGGCGAACGGGUGAGUAACAGGUGAGUAACCUGCCCUUGACUUUGGGAUAACUUCAGGAAACUGGGGCUAAUACCGGAUAGGAGCUCCUGCUGCAUGGUGGGGGUUGGAAAGUUUCGGCGGUUGGGGAUGGACUCGCGGCUUAUCAGCUUGUUGGUGGGGUAGUGGCUUACCAAGGCUUUGACGGGUAGCCGGCCUGAGAGGGUGACCGGCCACAUUGGGACUGAGAUACGGCCCAGACUCCUACGGGAGGCAGCAGUGGAGAAUAUUGCACAAUGGGCGGAAGCCUGAUGCAGCAACGCCGCGUGCGGGAUGACGGCCUUCGGGUUGUAAACCGCUUUCGCCUGUGACGAAGCGUGAGUGACGGUAAUGGGUAAAGAAGCACCGGCUAACUACGUG
rnacentral:rRNA from 1 species